AUUGAACGCUGGCGGCAGGCCUAACACAUGCAAGUCGAGCGGAUGAGGGGAGCUUGCUCCUGGAUUCAGCGGCGGACGGGUGAGUAAUGCCUAGGAAUCUGCCUGGUAGUGGGGGAUAACGUCCGGAAACGGGCGCUAAUACCGCAUACGUCCUGAGGGAGAAAGUGGGGGAUCUUCGGACCUCACGCUAUCAGAUGAGCCUAGGUCGGAUUAGCUAGUUGGUGGGGUAAAGGCCUACCAAGGCGACGAUCCGUAACUGGUCUGAGAGGAUGAUCAGUCACACUGGAACUGAGACACGGUCCAGACUCCUACGGGAGGCAGCGGUGGGGAAUAUUGGACAAUGGGCGAAAGCCUGAUCCAGCCAUGCCGCGUGUGUGAAGAAGGUCUUCGGAUUGUAAAGCACUUUAAGUUGGGAGGAAGGGCAGUAAGUUAAUACCUUGCUGUUUUGACGUUACCAACAGAAUAAGCACCGGCUAACUUCGUG
rnacentral:rRNA from 1 species